AGUUUAAAAAUAUAGCUUGGCUUAGCUAAAAAUAUAUUAUUUAAAAAAAAUACCUAGGAAUUUUGGGUUUUUAGUAAUGAAUUCAAAAUUGACAUCGAAAAAGGUCAAGACUGUUGACGUUGAAGAUGACGUCACGCCUCGCAAAACAUUCGUGGUUGUUUAUGACGGUCAAUUGAUUUUAAUAAGAAAUAAUGAAUAAAAUACAACGAUAAAAACACCGAAUAAAUUAUUCAUAUAUGUUCCUAAUAAUAAGCGAAUACGUAAAAAGUGGUAAGAAAUAGCAAGGAGGCAAGAUGCUUCUAAUAUAUCAAGUGACUCAACACUUUAUUUCAAUGAAGAACAUUUUGAUGUAAGUAUUAAGCCAAGUUAAUGUAUCUAUUGGUAAAUAUAAAGUAAAAGUAAUGAAUUUAGCAAAAUCUACCAUAUAAAAGCAUACCUUUAUAGGUUAUGUAACCAUAAGUUAUAAAAUGAUAGGACUUGAAUAUGUUUGUGUUAUUUUUUAAAAUUUAUAACAUUAUUUUUGUUUUAAAAAAUGAAAUAAUUUAUACUUUUUGUAUUGUUUUAGUUCCCAAACAAUAUGUAUAAGUAUAUGGAGUAUCGUAUUAUGGGAAAAUCUCUCAAGUACGCAUGAAGCCAGAUUGUAUACCAAAGAAAUUCGAAUACCAAGAAGAUAGAAAGAAAAGUACAUGCAGCGAUAUCAAACGACCAUAUAUGUUGAAAUAACAAAGAAUGUCAACAAUCACAGAGUAUUUGAAUAAACCAGAAUAAAGUAUGAGUAGUACAUCAAGUUUAUCUAUCAAGGAUACUUCAACAAGUUCAGAUUUUCAAAAAGUUGGAGAGGAUGUACCUGAAGCUUUAUUUGCACUGACAGCGGAUAAAUCUGUUCAAGCAUUAGUAACACACAAUUUCAAAAGUAAAGCUAUCCAAACUAAAAUAAAAGACAGUAUCAUCUUUGAAACCAUUACAAAUAUCUGUCUCCACAUCCCCAUUCAUACCAAUGAAAAUUAUAAAUUUAAGAGCUGUCGGCCUCGGCAAAAUCACAAUAUAUUUAUCAAAGCAGAGCAGUCUGAUAGUGAUGUUUCUUUAUAUGUACCAUCUGCAUCUACCUAUACAUAUACCUAUCUAUCUAAGAUUCAUUAAUAAAAUAAAACAAUUUUAUUUGUAUUUUUAUUUUAGUUCUACACUGUUAUAAAGAAUAAAUAUUGUUUUUCAUAAAUCCAACAAAUCUUUGAUUAUAUUUUCAAUAUAUUUUGGAUCAUAUUGAACCAUUAAUACGUCAACCACUUUAUUUUGGCUGUAAUCAGGAUCAGCCACACAAAAGAAACAAUUUCUCAUUCCAGUUAAACACAUUUGUAUCUGCAUUUGAGUAUAAUACUUUUGUGUGGCUUCACCAUUUUUAAUGUAAUUUUUAUAAGUUUUUACACUAUCACAUAUUUAAAUUAACCCUGUUCGCCGCACCAUAAUAGUUAAAUUUCAAGCUUUGACUUCCACGAGACAGGCUUUGCUUAGUGUGGUGUCAUAGUUAUAUUGUACCAUUGGCUUUGUUUAAGGAAAAUAAAGUUUAUUAUUUAUUAUUAUUAUUAUUAUUAGGGCAUUUAAUUUCAAUUAAGCCAUCUUCCAAUAUGCCAUUAGAGGAACCAGCGAUCAUCAGAUAAUCUCCAUUUAAUAUUAGACCACACUUAUUAAUUUUUUUAUUCAGUUUUACCUCCACAGUUUUCCCUACUUGAGCUUCUAAGAUAUGUCCACGUGUCAUUGAUGGAGUAUCAGGUAUUUUUGCCCCUUAUAUUAGAGACACAAGUGUACCAUCAUUCUUUUUACAGCCGCUAACCUCAAAUGCUCUUGAUGCGGUUAUUCGUCCAUACCGCAGCUCAUGCCAACUUUUUUAUUACAGAUGCAGAUAUCUUUACAUUUUUAAAAAAUUAUCUACACAUUUCUCUUUAUAUUUCCACACAAACUGAUGCAUUGAAACUUAAGGAGUUCACAAUCCUCAAUUUUCCUGUUCUUUCCUUCUUCUAGAAACUUCAAAACAGAUGAGUUUGACAGUAUGAGAAGG